rnacentral:sRNA from 1 species
GUAGAAGGAGGUUCGAUUAAACUCGCUGCAUCAUGCAGCAACAUCGAACCAACCCACAUCGUGUGGG